CACAGCACCUGCUUGAACAGCCAAUUAUCUCCCUGCCUCAUCUCCAUCACUGUGCUUCCUCAAACUUCAGAGAGCUGUGGCCCGAACCCGCCCUCGGGGGUGCCAGGUCCUCUCUACCCCUCCUUCAUUUCUCUAAAUCCCAAGACUGGAGAUGCACACUUUCAAUCUGUGGAUAGUUCCAGUUUCAAAUGCAUGUUUCUUAUAGGCUGAAAAGUACUUUCAACCGAAAAGACACCCUUUUUACUUCCAGAAGAACCAGGAGGGGUACUCACCAGCUGCUGUCCCGCAGCAGGGAGGGACCCACCAGGCGGAGGAAAAGAUGGUGGCGAUCACCUCCUCGGGGAAGAGAGUGACAUUCCUCUGGAUCUGCAGCAGGUUGAGCACCAGGGCUAGGACCACCCCAACCGAGAAGAGCACGAGGCUCCUCUGCAACAGGCGAUGAUGCCAGGUGUUGGGGUAGGGGCUGCCGGGCUCGGGGCCGCUCAUCGCAGCACUGCGGCCCCUGGGCGCGGGGUCAGCGUCCGGGGCACCGUGGGCCGCCAG
rnacentral:lncRNA from 1 species